rnacentral:misc_RNA from 1 species
GAUGAAGAACGUAGCGAAAUGCGAUAAGUAAUGUGAAUUGCAGAAUUCAGUGAAUCAUCGAAUCUUUGAACGCACCUUGCGCCCUUUGGCUAUUCCGAAGGGCAUGCCUGUUUGAGUGUCAUUUUGAACUCUCAAAGCCCACGCACAUUUUGACGUGGGCUUUUGGACUUGAGGGCUUUUUGCAGGCUUUUGAUUCAGAAAGCCUGCUCCCUUGAAAAUCAUCAGUGGUAUCUGGAGCGGAAACCGCUAGGUGUUGAUAACAUUCAUCUAUGCCUUUGGGUAUGCCGCGUAAAUGUGCUGCUUCCAACGCCCCAUGCUCUUUUGACAAACUUGACCUCAAAUCAGGUAGGACUACCCGCUGAACUUAAGCAUAUCAAUAAGCGGAGGA